CCGUAAUCCUUAUAUGUUGCUGGUCAAAAAUUUGAAGGAAGGAUUUUUAGCUGCGCCACUCCCCUGCAUCGAAUGAUCAAUUCAGAGCCGCGACGACCGGACUUUCUGUCUGUACAGACAGCGAGAGCGCCACGCGUCAGAGGAUUGUGACAUGCUUGCGGCAAAUAUCGCUAUUUCGAGUAUACAAACUUGCGAUUCUUUCAACUUUCAACCGAGUGCUUCUGCUUGACACUUCAGAAGCAACUGUCCGCAACGGAUUUCACAAGGAAUUGUGCGACCGGCUUACUUUUCAUGAGAAUAGCUCGUUUGGAAAUAAAUCGUGGAGCUCUUCGCUAAUUCUGCUGGACAAGGAGCCAACGCGGGGCACAAGCGAGCGCUCUUGUGUGGAGGAAGGCGCACAAAGGAGGAGCCAGCUUCCGCGUGCUCUUCCGAUCUGAAGGUGGGUUGGUGUGAGCAAUGCUUUGUGGGGAGAGGCUGGCGGGGGCUGGCCAUCCGCUGCCGCCCCACCACCAUCGCCGUCACCGUCUCCACCGGCGCCAGCUCCAUCCCGCACCCCUUCAUCGUCGCCCACUAUGGGCACCCCCGACUCGUCCUGAUGCCUCCUCGACACGUUCCGCAGAACCUGCGGUACUUCCGUGCAGCCGCCUCAUCGACGCUUGGCCUUGUCCCACAUGCUCCCCAGGUUGCCCUGCACCAGUGCCACCAUGUUGGCUGGCACAGGCGGUGCAUUUUGAGCAGGUGUGUGAGCCAGCAGCUCCUUGCCGCGAUGGCUGUAGGUCUUGUAGACCAGCUCCUUCCUGGCGCCCGUCUCAAAUGACACCUUGGUGGUGUUGCACUCGCCGGUGAGCGCCACGUUGGCAGGGCCAAAAGUGCGCUGGCAGGACCGGAAGGUCUCACCGAUUGGGGCGGCCACCUCCCCGCGCCUGGUGCACGCCAUGGACUUGACCGCCAAGCCGUACACGACCUCCACCUUCUCAGAAAGCUUCUGGGCGUCCUUCCGCAGGCAAGCAAAGAAGCUGUCCACGGCGCUCUUUUUGCCACAAAACGGCUCAUGUUGGCGCACGAGACCUCGCAGGUCUCCAUGGUGAGCGCCCACCAGCGGUCCUUGAAGACCGAGUAGGCCCUGACGUAGGCCAUCACCUGGGCGGACGUGAUGGCCUUCAGCACUCCACCUUGGGAGGUGAGCCAGCGGAACUCGUCCGCCAGCACGUGCAAACGCCCCGCCUGCCAGGCAUUCUCGUUGUGGAUGCCGCUAUCCAUGUAGUACUGGCCGCGCGUGAACUUCCACGUGUGCUUCUUGCCGGUCUCUUGUCGAUGCACAUGACGGUUGCGAUGGAGCAGCGGCCAGGGUCCAGGCCCAGGACCAGCAUGUCGUCCACUACCAUGUUACAAGUCCAGCCGUAGUCGUUGCAGGGCAGAAGGGCCUCACGAGCAGCUUUUUCAGCGCCGCAUCACGCUCGGCGCGCCACUGCUUCUUAGUCUUUCUGGGCGUUUCGCUGGCUUUGCCUGCCAACUCAAAGAUCGGCUUCUGAACGUGGUGCACGUAGUCGGUGCACGGGGAGACGUUGUCUGUGCGGAUGGUCCCUGAUGGCCGCCAGCCCUUUGCGGGCGAGCGAUCCUUGAGGGUUCGGAAGAGGCAGGAGCCCAUCACCUGCACCUUCAUGCCGUGCUGCAGGUACUCCUCCUGCGCCUUCCUGAAGUUGUCAGUGUUGCACACCUCGGCACGCGCCUUCUCCACGUCAUCCUUCGCUUUGUUGUAGGCUUCUCUCUUCUCCUUCCACGUCUCCUUGGGACGCUGCCCGAGAGCCAAGGGCAUGGGGUGCUGCUUGUUGAGGGCCCGGACGGGAUCUUUGAGGGCACCUUUUUUCAUCAGCACCAAAUACGAUGGGUUCUGCUCCUGAAAGGUCUUGAGCCGAGCCCGGUACUUAUCCCAUUCUGCCUUCACCUUGGCAUAUAGUUCAUGUGCAGCUUUCAGCUCGUCUUUCUUGCUGUACUGCCUUUUGGUCGGCGCCGUCGGUGGCGGCUGCUGUGGCUCCUGCAG
rnacentral:lncRNA from 1 species